ensembl:lncRNA
AAGGCCAAAUAUGAAAUUUUCCCUGCCCGACUACUCCAGUGAAGACGAUGACAAUCGGAAUCUCCCCCCGCCUCCAAAAAUCCCAAGAGCACCAGCAAAAAAAAAAACUAUUCCAAAUUCAGAGUUGACCACCGUUACUGCUCUGCCAGUAGCACCACCGCUCUUCCGCUCCAGCCAUGCCGCAUACAGUGAGCCUGGCAGAAGACAUUGUGGAGAAUUGACAGGUCCGACCUUUAUUUUGCCACCUCGACCACAGCACCCAGGAACAUUUUUCAACUCCAUCGAUGCCGAGUUGACUACCGUUACUGCUCUGCCAGUAGCACCACCGCUCUUCCGCUCCAGCCAUGCCGAGUUAACAAGUCAGACCACCACUCCUCCGUCAACUUCGCCCACAUCUCUGCCAGUACCACCCCAGCAAGAUUUUUACAGACUUGUUCUGCAGCACCUCCGCACAAUUGAGGAGGAGCUGAAGGAGGUGAAGCAGCAGGUGGCGGUCAACACAGCCAUGAUACAGAGACUAGGUGGUGGUGGUGUGGCAGAUCUCGGCCUUGUGGAAGACACCAACAUGCCAUUGAGCAAUGCCGAGGACCUGGACGAGCUGGAGAGGCGGCUUAUAUCUGAUGUGGACCUAAAAAAUCAACUGGUGAACAUACUUGCUAUUUUGGGAGGGAAAACCACCAAAGACGCAGUGAAGAGGAUGCUGGGCCGGGCUUUCAGGAGGUCCCUGGCGCUCCAAAUUAAUUGGACUGGCGCAGCUGGAAAGAUCGCUUUCAGGUUGCACAGAGCCGUUCGGAGAGUGGUAACCACAGCCACUGAAGAGGAGCUUCAAAAAGAAGUCUCCCUGUAUUUGAAGGGGGCGGCUGACAGGGAGGGAGGGAG